rnacentral:misc_RNA from 1 species
GAAACCAACCCGUGAUUGCCUCAGUAACGGCGAGUGAAGCGGCAAGAGCUCAAAUUUGAAAUCCGGCUCCCUCUAGGGGGCCCGAGUUGUAAUUUGCAGAGGAUGCUUCGGGGCGUCGCUGCGGUCUAAGUGCCCUGGAACGGGCUGUCGUAGAGGGUGAGAACCCCGUCUUCGGCCGGCCAGCGAUGUCCGUGUGAGGCCCCUUCGACGAGUCGAGUUGUUUGGGAAUGCAGCUCUAAAUGGGUGGUAAAUUUCAUCUAAAGCUAAAUAUGGGUCGGAGACCGAUAGCGCACAAGUAGAGUGAUCGAAAGAUGAAAAGCACUUUGAAAAGAGAGUUAAACAGCAUGUGAAAUUGUUGAAAGGGAAGCGCUUGCGACCAGAGUCUCCCCCCAGGGUUCAGCGGGCUUUCGUGGCCCGUGCAGUCCCUGGAGGGAGGGCCAGCGUCGGUUUGGGUGGCCGGUCAAAGGCCCCUGGAAUGUAUCGUCUCCCGGGACGUCUUAUAGCCAGGGGUGCCAUGCGGCCUGCCCGGACCGAGGAACGCGCUCCGGCACGGACGCUGGCUUAAUGGUCGUCAGCGACCCGUCUUGAAACACGGACCAAGGAGUCUAACAUCCACGCGAGUGUUCGGGUGUCAAACCCGUCCGCGCAGUGAAAGCGAACGGAGGUGAGAGCCUUUUCUUUGAGGGGGUGCAUCAUCGACCGAUCCUGAAGUCUUCGGAUGGAUUUGAGUAGGAGCGUGGCUGUGGGGACCCGAAAGAUGGUGAACUAUGCCUGAAUAGGGUGAAGCCAGAGGAAACUCUGGUGGAGGCUCGCAGCGGUUCUGACGUGCAAAUCGAUCGUCAAAUUUGGGUAUAG